rnacentral:rRNA from 1 species
GAUGAACGCUGGCGGCGUGCCUAAUACAUGCAAGUCGAGCGAACGGACGAGAAGCUUGCUUCUCUGAUGUUAGCGGCGGACGGGUGAGUAACACGUGGAUAACCUACCUAUAAGACUGGGAUAACUUCGGGAAACCGGAGCUAAUACCGGAUAAUAUUUUGAACCGCAUGGUUCAAAAGUGAAAGACGGUCUUGCUGUCACUUAUAGAUGGAUCCGCGCUGCAUUAGCUAGUUGGUAAGGUAACGGCUUACCAAGGCAACGAUGCAUAGCCGACCUGAGAGGGUGAUCGGCCACACUGGAACUGAGACACGGUCCAGACUCCUACGGGAGGCAGCAGUAGGGAAUCUUCCGCAAUGGGCGAAAGCCUGACGGAGCAACGCCGCGUGAGUGAUGAAGGUCUUCGGAUCGUAAAACUCUGUUAUUAGGGAAGAACAUAUGUGUAAGUAACUGUGCACAUCUUGACGGUACCUAAUCAGAAAGCCACGGCUAACUACGUGCCAGCAGCCGCGGUAAUACGUAGGUGGCAAGCGUUAUCCGGAAUUAUUGGGCGUAAAGCGCGCGUAGGCGGUUUUUUAAGUCUGAUGUGAAAGCCCACGGCUCAACCGUGGAGGGUCAUUGGAAACUGGAAAACUUGAGUGCAGAAGAGGAAAGUGGAAUUCCAUGUGUAGCGGUGAAAUGCGCAGAGAUAUGGAGGAACACCAGUGGCGAAGGCGACUUUCUGGUCUGUAACUGACGCUGAUGUGCGAAAGCGUGGGGAUCAAACAGGAUUAGAUACCCUGGUAGUCCACGCCGUAAACGAUGAGUGCUAAGUGUUAGGGGGUUUCCGCCCCUUAGUGCUGCAGCUAACGCAUUAAGCACUCCGCCUGGGGAGUACGACCGCAAGGUUGAAACUCAAAGGAAUUGACGGGGACCCGCACAAGCGGUGGAGCAUGUGGUUUAAUUCGAAGCAACGCGAAGAACCUUACCAAAUCUUGACAUCCUUUGACAACUCUAGAGAUAGAGCCUUCCCCUUCGGGGGACAAAGUGACAGGUGGUGCAUGGUUGUCGUCAGCUCGUGUCGUGAGAUGUUGGGUUAAGUCCCGCAACGAGCGCAACCCUUAAGCUUAGUUGCCAUCAUUAAGUUGGGCACUCUAAGUUGACUGCCGGUGACAAACCGGAGGAAGGUGGGGAUGACGUCAAAUCAUCAUGCCCCUUAUGAUUUGGGCUACACACGUGCUACAAUGGACAAUACAAAGGGCAGCGAAACCGCGAGGUCAAGCAAAUCCCAUAAAGUUGUUCUCAGUUCGGAUUGUAGUCUGCAACUCGACUACAUGAAGCUGGAAUCGCAAGUAAUCGUAGAUCAGCAUGCUACGGUGAAUACGUUCCCGGGUCU